GUCCCCGGCCACCAAGCUAUAUUGGAGCCCAGUGGCCCGCGACCCGCCGCGGGGCCCGAGCAUUGUCCUAGGGAGCGAGAAAGAGGUAAAGGGUGGAUGCUGGGGGCAGCCACGUGGCGGGGAGAGGAUUUAUUGGGGUUUCUUUCGCUGAGCUCGGUCUUGCAACAUGUAUCAAAGAGACGGCAUAGUCGGGACGCGAGUGUGAGCGUGCGGCAAGCGCCCCCCACCCCACCGGAAAUCUGAUGGGCUGAUGACAUCAUGACUGGCUGCUGAGCGAUGAAGUGGAUGCCACAAAGAAAUCCGACAUAUCAGAUGGAUUCUGAAAUCAGUUUCCCUCCGGCUCUAGGAACCGGCAUGAAGUCAGGAGAAUAUGUGAGCUCGGUUUCAAAAGCAAAACAUCUAACUGAACUCAGCCCUGCAUGAGAUAUGUUUGGUUUUUUUUUUUUUCAGACAAACCUUUUGGACUACAUCCUAUUUUAAGAGAAAUGCUGGUUUUUAUGAAAUGAAAGCAGUUAAUAAAUCCAACCUCAAGCUGUU